rnacentral:rRNA from 1 species
CAUGGGCAGGUUGAAGGUUGGGUAACACUAACUGGAGGACCGAACCGACUAAUGUUGAAAAAUUAGCGGAUGACUUGUGGCUGGGGGUGAAAGGCCAAUCAAACCGGGAGAUAGCUGGUUCUCCCCGAAAGCUAUUUAGGUAGCGCCUCGUGAAUUCAUCUCCGGGGGUAGAGCACUGUUUCGGCAAGGGGGUCAUCCCGACUUACCAACCCGAUGCAAACUGCGAAUACCGGAGAAUGUUAUCACGGGAGACACACGGCGGGUGCUAACGUCCGUCGUGAAGAGGGAAACAACCCAGACCGCCAGCUAAGGUCCCAAAGUCAUGGUUAAGUGGGAAACGAUGUGGGAAGGCCCAGACAGCCAGGAUGUUGGCUUAGAAGCAGCCAUCAUUUAAAGAAAGCGUAAUAGCUCACUGGUCGAGUCGGCCUGCGCGGAAGAUGUAACGGGGCUAAACCAUGCACCGAAGCUGCGGCAGCGACGCUUAUGCGUUGUUGGGUAGGGGAGCGUUCUGUAAGCCUGCGAAGGUGUGCUGUGAGGCAUGCUGGAGGUAUCAGAAGUGCGAAUGCUGACAUAAGUAACGAUAAAGCGGGUGAAAAGCCCGCUCGCCGGAAGACCAAGGGUUCCUGUCCAACGUUAAUCGGGGCAGGGUGAGUCGACCCCUAAGGCGAGGCCGAAAGGCGUAGUCGAUGGGAAACAGGUUAAUAUUCCUGUACUUGGUGUUACUGCGAAGGGGGGACGGAGAAGGCUAUGUUGGCCGGGCGACGGUUGUCCCGGUUUAAGCGUGUAGGCUGGUUUUCCAGGCAAAUCCGGAAAAUCAAGGCUGAGGCGUGAUGACGAGGCACUACGGUGCUGAAGCAACAAAUGCCCUGCUUCCAGGAAAAGCCUCUAAGCAUCAGGUAACAUCAAAUCGUACCCCAAACCGACACAGGUGGUCAGGUAGAGAAUACCAAGGCGCUUGAGAGAACUCGGGUGAAGGAACUAGGCAAAAUGGUGCCGUAACUUCGGGAGAAGGCACGCUGAUACGUAGGUGAAGUCCCUCGCGGAUGGAGCUGAAAUCAGUCGAAGAUACCAGCUGGCUGCAACUGUUUAUUAAAAACACAGCACUGUGCAAACACGAAAGUGGACGUAUACGGUGUGACGCCUGCCCGGUGCCGGAAGGUUAAUUGAUGGGGUCAGCGCAAGCGAAGCUCUUGAUCGAAGCCCCGGUAAACGGCGGCCGUAACUAUAACGGUCCUAAGGUAGCGAAAUUCCUUGUCGGGUAAGUUCCGACCUGCACGAAUGGCGUAAUGAUGGCCAGGCUGUCUCCACCCGAGACUCAGUGAAAUUGAACUCGCUGUGAAGAUGCAGUGUACCCGCGGCAAGACGGAAAGACCCCGUGAACCUUUACUAUAGCUUGACACUGAACAUUGAGCCUUGAUGUGUAGGAUAGGUGGGAGGCUUUGAAGUGUGGACGCCAGUCUGCAUGGAGCCGACCUUGAAAUACCACCCUUUAAUGUUUGAUGUUCUAACGUUGACCCGUAAUCCGGGUUGCGGACAGUGUCUGGUGGGUAGUUUGACUGGGGCGGUCUCCUCCUAAAGAGUAACGGAGGAGCACGAAGGUUGGCUAAUCCUGGUCGGACAUCAGGAGGUUAGUGCAAUGGCAUAAGCCAGCUUGACUGCGAGCGUGACGGCGCGAGCAGGUGCGAAAGCAGGUCAUAGUGAUCCGGUGGUUCUGAAUGGAAGGGCCAUCGCUCAACGGAUAA